UACGAAGGGGGCUAGCGUUGCUCGGAUUGACUGGGCGUAAAGGGCGCGUAGGCGGGUCUUUUAAGUCAGGGGUGAAAUCCUGGAGCUCAACUCCAGAACUGCCUUUGAUACUGAAGAUCUUGAGUUCGGGAGAGGUGAGUGGAACUGCGAGUGUAGAGGUGAAAUUCGUAGAUAUUCGCAAGAACACCAGUGGCGAAGGCGGCUCACUGGCCCGGUACUGACGCUGAGGCACGAAAGCGUGGGGGAGCAAACAGG
rnacentral:rRNA from 1 species